rnacentral:rRNA from 1 species
GAUGAACGCUAGCUACAGGCUUAACACAUGCAGGUCGAGGGGUAACGAGAGGAAAGCUUGCUUUCCUUGUCGACGACCGGCGCACGGGUGAGUAACGCGUAUCCAACCUGCCCCCAACUAGGGAAUAACCUUGCGAAAGUAAGACUAAUACCCUAUAAUUUCCUCAGAUGUCAUCUGACGAGGAAUAAAGCUUUAUCGGAUGUGGAUGGGGAUGCGUCUGAUUAUCUUGUUGGCGGGGUAACGGCCCACCAAGGCAACGAUCAGUAGGGGUUCUGAGAGGAAGGUCCCCCACAUUGGAACUGAGACACGGUCCAAACUCCUACGGGAGGCAGCAGUGAGGAAUAUUGGUCAAUGGGCGGAAGCCUGAACCAGCCAAGUAGCGUGCAGGAUGACGGCCCUAUGGGUUGUAAACUGCUUUUAUACAGGAAUAAAGUUAGCCACGUGUGGUUAUUUGUAGGUACUGUAUGAAUAAGGACCGGCUAAUUCCGUGCCAGCAGCCGCAGUAA